rnacentral:SRP_RNA from 1 species
UUACGCAGCCGGGGAAGUAGCGGCUCCCUGUACCUGAAAUCCGCUAUAGCAGGGGUGAUAUCUCGCCGAGGGUGUUUAUGAUGCAUAGCAGCCCUUGGUUAUCUGAUGUUGAGACCCGGGUCUCACGCGACGAAAAUCUGUGAACCGUGUCAGGUCAGGAAUGAAGCAGCACUAAGCAGAAGCUUUCGGGUGCCGUGAGGUCGCCUAGGUUGAGUCAGAUGCCAUCGAAGCGUAUGUGUUUUUGCAUUCGAAGCGAGAUGCGUAU